rnacentral:lncRNA from 1 species
CUGAGUCUAGUCUGAAUAAGAACAAUGCAGGCCAGGCUCAGUGGUUCACACCUAUAAUCCCAGCACUUUGGGAGGUAGAGGUGGGCAGAUGGAUCAUGAGGUCAAGAAAUGGAGACCAUCCUGGCCAACACGGUGAAACCCCGUUUCCACUAAAAAUACAAAAAUUACCUGGGCAUGGUGGUGUGUGCCUGUAAUCCCAGCUACUCAGAAGGCUGAGGCAGGAGAAUCACUUGAACCUGGGAGGCAAAGGUUUCAGUGAGCUGAAAUCUCGCCACCACAUUCCAGCCUGGGCGACAGAGAGAGACUUCAUCUCAAAAAAAAAAAAAAAGAAAAGAAAAGAAAAAGAAAAGAAAAAGAAAUAAAGAAAAGACCAAUGCUAACCCACUAUAAAUUAUGAACACAGUAGCUGUGUGAGAAGUAACAAUUAGUAAGAAGGGAGUAGGUGAAAGAAAAAUAAGUUAUCUCACUGUCCCUACCUUUCAAUAUUAGGACAUUUUCAAUUGGUGGGGGGUAGGGAGCAGUGUCAAAUUAUUAGCACUUUUUGUUAGUAAUACUUCUUUCUUUUUCUGAGAACAGAUAAAUCCAUUUUUUUUUUUUUUUUUGAGAUAGAAUCUCACUCUGUUGCCCAGUCUGCAGUGCAGUGGUGUGGUCUUGGCUCACUGCAACUUCUGCCUCUCAGCCUCCCAAGUAGCUGGGAUAACAGGUAUGUGCCACCAUGCCUGGCUAAUUUUUGUAUUUUUAGUAGCAACAGGAUUUCACCAUGUUGGCUAGGCUGGUCUUGAACUCCUGACCUCAAUUGAUUCACCUGCCUCAGCCUUUCAAAGCGCUGGGAUUACAGGCAUGAGCCACUGUGCCUGGCCCAAAUCCACUUUUUAACUUGUUCCUUCUUUCUCUCACUAUUCUGGAUAUUGUACAUCUUGGUUUUUCUUUUCUCUUUUUGUGGUCCUUUCUUUUUUUUUUUUUUAUUUUUUAUUUUGAGACAGAGUCUCACUCUGUCGCCCAGGCUGGAGUGCAAUGGAGUGAUUUUGGCUCACUGCAACCUCCGCCUCCU